GAGAACAUUGUGAGGACGUCGAUUUCAAGAAUAUCCCGGAAGGUAUGGUGAUACAACCAAGCUACCAAAUUUCUGAGUUCACGGGUGUGGACUCUGAAAACCCAGAUUCCAAAGUUUUGGAAGUUCGCAUUGAC
rnacentral:ribozyme from 1 species